CACGUAGGUGGCAAGCGUUGUCCGGAAUUAUUGGGCGUAAAGCGCGCGCAGGUGGUUCCUUAAGUCUGAUGUGAAAGCCCACGGCUCAACCGUGGAGGGUCAUUGGAAACUGGGGAACUUGAGUGCAGAAGAGGAAAGUGGAAUUCCAAGUGUAGCGGUGAAAUGCGUAGAGAUUUGGAGGAACACCAGUGGCGAAGGCGACUUUCUGGUCUGUAACUGACACUGAGGCGCGAAAGCGUGGGGAGCAAACAGG
rnacentral:rRNA from 1 species